GACGAACGCUGGCGGCGUGCUUAACACAUGCAAGUCGAGCGGAAAGGCCCUUCGGGGUACUCGAGCGGCGAACGGGUGAGUAACACGUGAGUAACCUGCCCCAGACUUUGGGAUAACCCUCGGAAACGGGGGCUAAUACCGGAUACGACACAGCUUCGCAUGGGGUCUGUGUGGAAAGUUUUUCGGUUUGGGAUGGGCUCGCGGCCUAUCAGCUUGUUGGUGGGGUGAUGGCCUACCAAGGCGACGACGGGUAGCCGGCCUGAGAGGGCGACCGGCCACACUGGGACUGAGACACGGCCCAGACUCCUACGGGAGGCAGCAGUGGGGAAUAUUGCACAAUGGGCGGAAGCCUGAUGCAGCGACGCCGCGUGAGGGAUGACGGCCUUCGGGUUGUAAACCUCUUUCAGCAUGGACGAAGCGUAAGUGACGGUACCUGCAGAAGAAGCGCCGGCCAACUACGUG
rnacentral:rRNA from 1 species